AAAAUAGGAGAAAGAAUUUCUAGAAAAAUAGAACAAAGAAUUCGUGGGAAGAAAGCGUAAAGAUGAAAGCAUGAAGAUAAAAAAAAAAGAAUAAAUAGGUUAUGUGGGGGUGGGAGAAUAAAAUUAUAAAAUUGUAUUUCUAAAUAUAAAUUUUUGCUAAAGGAUAAAAUUGGAAUAGAAAAAAUAGAGAAAAGGGUAAAAAUGGAAUGGGGGGGUGGGGGUUGGAAUUGGGGAGGUGCAGGGAGUAACCCCCCUCAUUUAUUAGCGAGCCAGAAAAAUUUGAACCCGGCCCAACCCACCAUAAGUUGAUGGGUAAACGGGUUGGCUCACUGGCUCAUUUAAUUACAAUAUUUUAAAUAAAAAAAAUUACAAACUUUCUAUAAUUCAAAUCUAAAUAGAUUUCACUCCCAACAUGGACGUUUAAUUAAUUUUGAAAAUAGAAAACAUAAAUAAUUUUUUCAAACAAAAAAAUAUCUUUUUAUAAAAUUAAAAUUAAUUUUUAAUAAAAUAAAAUUAGGUAGGUGGGCUGGUGGGUCAACCCGGCCCACCACAGGUUCAACCCGCAUGAGCCGGGUUUAAAU
rnacentral:lncRNA from 1 species